GGAACUGGGAUUGUUCAGUCUGGAGAAGAAGAGGCUCAGGGGAGACCUUAUUGCUGUCUACAGACUGAAGUCUCACCAUCCCCAGAGGUGUUCAAGAAGAGUGAGGAUGUGGCACUGAGGAACGUGGUUAGUGGGCAUGGUGGUGGUGGUGGUUUGAUGGUUGGACUAGAUGAUUUCAGAGGUCUUUUCCAACCUCAGUGAUUCUAUGAUUCUAUUGCACGGACAUAAUCACGUAGCAUUUAAAUACAGUUUCUUGCUCCAGAAGAAGAGAGCAGGCUGGGUCUUAACAUUUUUAAUAGACAUGGAUUUGAUAGGUUUAUUUCAUUAAUCAGAUGGUUCAGAACACGUAAACAGCGCAUUUAGAAAAAGUUACACUUUUCUACACUUUUCUGCACAAAUCUGAAUGUGAACUUUGGUUAUGAAAAACAAACAAAACCUCUUUGCUCCUAGCUUCAAAAACACACACAGCUUCUGGUGCUGCGAGUGUGUUGCAGAAGUCAGUGGGUCUCAUGUGUGUGGGUUAGUCUAGUGGGAAUAAUAGGUUUGACUUAGUGAUCCCACUCUUGCUUAGGGAAAACAGGAGGUCAGUGGAUGGUCAAAAUCCAGUUUCUUUGCGAACACUGAACUCGGUCUAAACACCUAUGAUAUCUUGCAACAGAAGAGCGAUAUUAGGUUGGCAAACACAAACAUCUUUAUUGACUAUAUUAGGGAAUACACAGAAUGCCCGGGAGAAAGAAAGACAGUGCUGAACUUCCACAGCUUGUCAGGCACAGUUCAGUUCUCAUCACCAUCUCACACCACUAUUUCCACUCCUCCCCCGUUUGAUCUAGUUCAAAUAUCCAGCCGGUGUUUGUGCACUGAGAAGUUACUGAGAACCCUUAAAAAGCCUAACUAGUCACAACUUGAGAAGGAUAUUCCCAGCUAUCUGAGAAAAACAUAAUGCAAAGAACAACAGAUUAUUUGGAUUAAAAAGAAAAAAAAAAAGAAAAAGAGCAGAAGAUUUGAAAACAAGGAGCAUUAUAAGCAUCAGUUCCUCAUUGUCCUGAGGAAAGGGGCCCUGUGGUUGUAGGCAGGAAAUAGCUGCAGUCUUCUUAGGGCUUUGCUUUCCAAGAUAACACUUGGCAGUGUUGAAGAAGAAUUCCUUUCUCAUUAAAUACCAGAUCUGAACUUCAUCCCUUACCUGACUGCAUGCUUUUGCAUGUUCACGUUUCAAAUGCUCAAACCUACUUGACAACAGCAAACCACGAUAGGCUUCUCACAUUCAGAUUUACUGCAGAGCUUCCUUCCCUUCCUGAGUGCUGGGUGAACUGGAGCAAGAAGGGCGGCUUGCCCUCUUUCAGAGCAAGUAGAGGAACUGUGCUAUCUUGUCAGGAAGUUCCUGCUGCGCAUAUACAAUAGAAAAGUUACACUCUGAAGCACGGAACAGGUGUAGGCUUCAGCCCAACUUCACGACUGGAAAGGAUCAAGAAUGACUGCUAUCUAAAACACUUUACCAUCAGUCACUUUACCACCUCACUGCUGACCAGAGUGGGCAAAAAGUACAGACAAAAUGGAGCUGUUCUGUUGACUGGAAACACUGCUUGCAGCUGUCUGGAGGGAAAGCACACAAGAAGAACAGCCUAUGAUAGGUUUUGCCUCCAUUGACCAGAAGUGCGACAGCCGAAGCUGCAGGGGAUGCUGGUGGCAAGGACACAGCGACAUAAGGAUUGUGAGUCCAGUUCCCAGCACCAUUCAUCUUUUCACUAAUUCCUGCUACCUUCUUAAUGAUUCUGAGCUCUCUCACAAAGUAAGAGCUAUUUUACAGGCCACUGCACUCACACAAUUAAAGCUCCUUUUC
rnacentral:lncRNA from 1 species